GAUGAACGCUGGCGGCGUGCCUAAUACAUGCAAGUCGAGCGAACGGACGAGAAGCUUGCUUAUCUGAUGUUAGCGGCGGACGGGUGAGUCACACGUGGAUAACCUACCUAUAAGACUGGGAUAACUUCGGGAAACCGGAGCUAAUACCGGAUAAUAUUUUGAACCGCAUGGUUCAAAAGUGAAAGACGGUCUUGCUGUCACUUAUAGAUGGAUCCGCGCUGCAUUAGCUAGUUGGUAAGGUAACGGCUUACCAAGGCAACGAUGCAUAGCCGACCUGAGAGGGUGAUCGGCCACACUGGAACUGAGACACGGUCCAGACUCCUACGGGAGGCAGCAGUAGGGAAUCUUCCGCAAUGGGCGAAAGCCUGACGGAGCAACGCCGCGUGAGUGAUGAAGGUCUUCGGAUCGUAAAACUCUGUUAUUAGGGAAGAACAUAUGUGUAAGUAAAUGUGCACAUCUUGACGGUACCUAAUCAGAAAGCCACGGCUAACUACGUG
rnacentral:rRNA from 1 species